rnacentral:rRNA from 1 species
AUGGUAGCGUUCUACGGAGGAGUCGACAAAGUACCAUUCUCAAAAACUAAUUGCAAUAAUGAGAUUGGUAAGGAAAGGAAGAAGUAUUUGGAAUCCAAUGAUGCAAAAGCACUGUUAGAAUACUUGAAGAAUAAGCAGAGGGAGGAUCCAACAUUUUUUUAUAAGAUUCAAGUAGAUGAGAAGGAUGGUCAGAUAGCUAAAUUUUUUUGGGCAGAUGGGCCAAUCUUCACAUAUAUGGUUACACAUAUGCGCAGUGAGCAUGGAGCAACAGCUGUAUUCAACAGUACGGAUAUGACUGUUACAUGUUGUUGCAGAAAGUUUGAAUCCGUAGGUAUGUGUACACUUUUUUUUAUUCCAAUAUGA